rnacentral:lncRNA from 1 species
AGGGAUGUGGGGAGAGAGAGGGUCUUCGAAAUCAGCAGCUGAAGGACCAUCCUUCCUGUUAUUGGGAACCAGCCCGCCUGGUGUCAGAGCUGAUGCAGAGGAGAGCUGAGACAUGGAGAGAGAGGCGGGUUUUUGAGGACACUGCUUGAACCCCUGAAUCCAGCCAUGCCUGAAGGAUACCCUACAACUAACAGGCAUGAUGCCAUCAAGACAUCUUGAGCCUGGCUACCUCCCGUGGCCUGUAUUUUGUCCACAGGAAACUCGCGCAGUCUCACUACAGCAAAUUGAGGUGGUAUGGGGUGCCUGCUGCUGCCUCUCUCUUCACCUUUCCACAGAGGGCUGCCCCAGCCUGACUCCCACUUCCAGAGUUUCUCCAGCCAGGAGAAUCCUGAAAUCUCUGUAAAUAAGCAAUCCAGGAGCCAGAGAAUCAUGGGAUCUCAUAUAAACAAAUCAUCAAGGAAAAACACAGCCAGAGUCUCCAUUUGGUAAACCUCCGUGACUGGGGAUCCCCGGCCACCCAGAAAGCAGUAUUGCCUGCCAUGCAUGUCAUCACUGAUUUUUACUGCUGCAGCAGACUCCGUCAGACCUGCCUGCUGCUUCAGCGAAUUGUUCAGUGCACACCACCAGCUACCUGCUGUAAGCAUUCACACUCCUCUACCUGCCUGGCAGCAUUUCUCAGCUGAACACAGGCCAGGCCAGAAGUGCCAGGGAUUUAAUGCCCUUAGAAGUAGCUCUCUACCAAUGACAAAUGGAGCUGGUGGAUACAUUCUCAGCUUCCUCCCCUCUCAGGUGGAACAGCCCUGAGAUGUGCUCUAUGCAAUCUCCCACAAGUCCCCAGCAGGCUCAAGCUCCCAUUGUCCAACCCUGGUAACCUGCUCAUUGACACCCCUGUCUUGCCUUCCCUUCCUGGCCUCACUUUCUCACUCUCUUACUGUUGCCUCCUGAGAUCGCAUCCAAAAUAAAUGACCUGCACCCA